AACAAAAUAAUAUACUUUAGUCGAUAACCAUUAUCAAAUAGAUCACAAAAUAUAAUUUUCUUUCAACAUAUUUUUAUCUUCAUAUUUUUGAAUAUAUUUUCUUUACUAAUACCAUAAAAUAAAUUGUAAAUUUAUUUAGAAAUAAAACAUACGAAUCCGGCGCUACGCCGGAAGACCACUAGUGUGUAUAUAAAGUAGAGUUUUAUUCUCUUUUCCUCUGGCCACCUUAAAAAAAAAAUAGGGAAAGGAGAGUUCUGCACGUGUCCAUCUCCUAUUUUCGUGAGCCAUUUUUUUUAUGACUAUUUGGGCCGCUUAUGUUUGUGUUGAGAUGACAAGGCCGGUCUCUCUUUUGAAUAAAAAGCCCUAAUAACAUGUCUUCUUCGUCAACGGUGGUCGACCUUUCGAUUCACCUAUAUUCCACCGGCUCUGCGCAACGCUUUUCUUCUGUAUUGAAACUUUAUCACUACGAUUCACCAUUAAUUAUCUCAUUGAAACUCUACCAUGAUGUUGAAUGUUAUUACCCCUUUCCUAACCUCUAUAGCUAAACCCUAAUUUGUUCCACUAUAAAAUUAGAUGCAUCAAACUCAGAAUCUUGCAGCAUUACCUGAUUCGACCCUUCUGCUUCCUUACAAAGACAACCUGCAACAAUAGUACCAUCCCAUAUAUUUAUUACUGAUUUGAAGUCGGGUCUUUGUUCUCAGGCAGUGGUAACGCCUCUUCUGUGUUUCUGGGUACCUCGGAACGUGAAGCAAGGAGGGAGGGAGUUGACAUGCUUUUGCUUGAUGAGAAGGUUAGGCUAAUAUUUUCUCCUUGAUUAUGCAUUAUCUUUUUCCCAUUCGUCCAUUUAUACUUACAAAGGCUGUUCAUGUUUUCACUCUUCAAAGUCCACUCUCCUGCAAGUUUCUGUCAAUGUGCAUCCGCUUAACACCCACCACAAGCUGUCCAUUUGUUUCUCAGUUGUCACACGUCUUGUUAGAGGAGCUUGAUGUGAAAAGAGGGUGAGAUCAUGGUCAUGGACAUGCAGCUUCUUGAUGAAAAGGUAUGUGUCUGCUUGAUAAGCUUUUACAAUCGUUUUAACACACGCAUAUAUUCACACUAUUAUUGUUUUCAUUCACCUCUUUUCCAAGGUUCUUCCAUUGCCGGAAUAAUAAGAUGUAGAACAUUUUGAGGAUUUGAAAGAAGAAGAUGAUAUUUGAUCAAUAAAGAAACAACAAAAGAAGGGAAUAAGAUGUUGAUCGUGAUGGUGACGAACCCACAAUUAGAGAUGGUGCCUCUUCUUCAGACAACGAAGAGGCUUUGGUGGUCAGGCAACAUGAUGAAAGAUGAUUAUGGUUCUGAUGAUGAGGAGGAGCUAUUUAUAAAAGAAACACCCCAUAUCACAGUAGCAUCAACCGAUGAGAUUAACACUGUCUCCAAAGAAGUAGGCGGCUUGACAGCAGAAAUCAGAGUGGCCGCAAAUGCGAACCAGGAACCAUCCUCAUCUGUAAUCAAACGUCUUGCAUCAACCAAUCUGAUACUUGACCCCAAUGAGAAUGCUCAGAACAUAGCACGCCGGGCAUAGCUCGAUGUGUAAAAUAAAAAUCCACACCAUCUUUGCUUUCCAACUAAUAUUUACCAGCACUUUCUUCUUCUUCUUUUUUCAUUUAAACUCGAUGUAGUUGUUGAUGUUCGAACUACUGCAAGUUAUUUUCAUUCGAUGUAUGUCUUUGUUUUAACACGUCUAACCAUGGAAAAUGGUAUUAUGUAGGGAAUAUAUGUAAUUAAGUUUUAAAGUAUAGAUAAAUUGGAAUUUA